rnacentral:rRNA from 1 species
GACAGAGGGUGCAAACGUUGCUCGGAAUUACUGGGCGUAAAGCGCGUGUAGGCGGGCUAGUAAGUCGGACGUGAAAUCCCUGGGCUCAACCCAGGAACUGCAUCCGAAACUAUUAGCCUUGAGUGGUGGAGAGGGAAGCAGAAUUCCUGGUGUAGAGGUGAAAUUCGUAGAUACCAGGAGGAACACCGGUGGCGAAGGCGGCUUCCCGGACACUAACUGACGCUGAGACGCGAAAGCGUGGGGAGCAAACAGG